rnacentral:rRNA from 1 species
GACGAACGCUGGCGGCGUGCUUAACACAUGCAAGUCGAACGGAAAGGCCCUGCUCUUGUGGGGUGCUCGAGUGGCGAACGGGUGAGUAACACGUGAGUAACCUGCCCUUGACUUUGGGAUAACUUCAGGAGACUGGGGCGAAUACCGGAUAGGAGCUCCUGCUGCACGGGGGGGGUUGGAAAGAUUCGGCGGUUGGGGAUGGACUCGCGGCUUAUCAGCUUGUUGGUGGGGUAGUGGCUUACCAAGGCUUCGACGGGUAGCCGGCCUGGGAGGGGGACCGGCGUCAAUGGGACUGAGAUAGGGCCCAGAAUGCUACGGGAGGCAGCAGUGGAGAAUAUUACACAGUAGGCGGGAGCCUGAUGCAGCGACGCCGCGUGCGGAAUGACGGGCUACGGGUUGUAAACCGAUUUGGCAGGUGCCGAAGCGUGCGUGACGGUAAUGGGUAAAGAAGCACCGGCUAACUACGUG